AACGAACGCUGGCGGCGUGCCUAACACAUGCAAGUCGAACGAACGUAGCAAUACGUUAGUGGCGCACGGGUGAGUAACACGUGGGAAUCUGCCUUAUAGUUCGGAAUAACACCGGGAAACUGGUGCUAAUACCGGAUACGCCCUUCGGGGGAAAGUUUUUCGCUAUAAGAUGAGCCCGCGUUGGAUUAGCUAGUUGGUGGGGUAAUGGCUCACCAAGGCGACGAUCCAUAGCUGAUCUGAGAGGAUGAUCAGCCACACUGGGACUGAGACACGGCCCAGACUCCUACGGGAGGCAGCAGUGGGGAAUAUUGGACAAUGGGGGAAACCCUGAUCCAGCAACGCCGCGUGGGUGAUGAAGGUCUUCGGAUUGUAAAGCCCUUUUGGCAGGGACGAUGAUGACGGUACCUGCAGAAUAAGCUCCGGCUAACUUCGUG
rnacentral:rRNA from 1 species